AAGAAAUCCGGCAAACGGUCCUUCACGGGGCUUAGUAGCCUUUUCUCUACAACCCACCCCUUUGUGAACCAACGCGCGAGUUAGUAAAAGGGGGCGUGCUUCGGUGCACGCACCUUUGAAGGCUAGCGACUUUUUACCAUAUAUACACCUUUAGCAAGUCUCAGAAUGUUACCUUUGCGUCUAACGCGAUGAAAUUA
rnacentral:misc_RNA from 1 species